rnacentral:rRNA from 1 species
UACAGAGGGUGCAAGCGUUAAUCGGAAUUACUGGGCGUAAAGCGUGCGCAGGCGGUUGUGUAAGACAGAUGUGAAAUCCCCGGGCUCAACCUGGGAACUGCAUUUGUGACUGCACGGCUCGAGUGCGGCAGAGGGGGAUGGAAUUCCGCGUGUAGCAGUGAAAUGCGUGAGAUAUGCGGAGGAACACCGAUGGCGAAGGCAAUCCCCUGGGCCUGCACUGACGCUCAUGCACGAAAGCGUGGGGAGCAAACAGG